UACGUAGGGUGCAGGCGUUAAUCGGAAUUACUGGGCGUAAAGCGUGCGCAGGCGGUUUGCUAAGACAGGUGUGAAAUCCCCGGGCUUAACUGAGGACGUGCGGGAGAUACUGUCAGGCUGGAGUCCGGAAGAGGGUGGUGGAAUUCCCAGUGUAGCGGUGAAAUGCGUAGAUAUUGGGAGGAACACCGGUGGCGAAGGCGGCCACCUGGGCCGGAACUGACGCUGAGGCGCGAAAGCGUGGGGAGCAAACGGG
rnacentral:rRNA from 1 species